rnacentral:rRNA from 1 species
GACGAACGCUGGCGGCGUGCUUAACACAUGCAAGUCGAACGAAGAGCGACGGAAGCUUGCUUCUAUCAAUCUUAGUGGCGAACGGGUGAGUAACGCGUAAUCAACCUGCCCUUCAGAGGGGGACAACAGUUGGAAACGACUGCUAAUACCGCAUACGAUCUAAUCUCGGCAUCGAGGAUAGAUGAAAGGUGGCCUCUACAUGUAAGCUAUCACUGAAGGAGGGGAUUGCGUCUGAUUAGCUAGUUGGAGGGGUAACGGCCCACCAAGGCGAUGAUCAGUAGCCGGUCUGAGAGGAUGAACGGCCACAUUGGGACUGAGACACGGCCCAGACUCCUACGGGAGGCAGCAGUGGGGAAUCUUCCGCAAUGGACGAAAGUCUGACGGAGCAACGCCGCGUGAGUGAUGACGGCCUUCGGGUUGUAAAGCUCUGUUAAUCGGGACGAAAGGCCUUCUUGCGAACAGUUAGAAGGAUUGACGGUACCGGAAUAGAAAGCCACGGCUAA